UACGUAGGGAGCAAGCGUUGUUCGGAUUACUGGGCGUAAAGGGCGCGUAGGCGGCCUACUAAGUCGGACGUGAAAUCCCUCGGCUCGAACCGAGGAACUGCGUCCGAUACUGGUGGGCUUGAAUCCGGGAGAGGGAUGUGGAAUUCCAGGUGUAGCGGUGAAAUGCGUAGAUAUCUGGAGGAACACCGGUGGCGAAGGCGGCAUCCUGGACCGGCAUUGACG
rnacentral:rRNA from 1 species